GUGCUCACUCCGGCAGCACACAUACUAACACUGGAAGGAUGCAGAGAAGAUUAGCACGGUCCUUCUGCAAGGAUGACAUGCAAAUUCAUGAAGCGUUCCAUAUUUUA